rnacentral:rRNA from 1 species
CCUACGGCGGCAGCAGUGGGGAAUAUUGGACAAUGGGCGAAAGCCUGAUCCAGCCAUGCCGCGUGUGUGAAGAAGGCCUUCGGGUUGUAAAGCACUUUCAGUGGGGAAGAAAGCCUUGGGGCUAAUACCCUCGAGGAAGGACAUCACCCACAGAAGAAGCACCGGCUAACUCCGUGCCAGCAGCCGCGGUAAUACGGAGGGUGCGAGCGUUAAUCGGAAUUACUGGGCGUAAAGCGCGCGUAGGCGGUCUGAUAAGCCGGUUGUGAAAGCCCCGGGCUCAACCUGGGAACGGCAUCCGGAACUGUCAGGCUAGAGUGCAGGAGAGGAAGGUAGAAUUCCCGGUGUAGCGGUGAAAUGCGUAGAGAUCGGGAGGAAUACCAGUGGCGAAGGCGGCCUUCUGGACUGACACUGACGCUGAGGUGCGAAAGCGUGGGUAGCAAACAGGAUUAGAUACCCUUGUAGUC